AUAACACCAAAGUGCUGGUAGAUAAACAAGCCGCUGUUGGCCUAUUAUAUAGCACCAAAGUGCUGGUAGAUAAACAAGCCGCUGUUGGCCUAUUAUAUAGCACCAAAGUGCUGGUAGAUAAACAAGCCGCUGUUGGCCUAUUAUAUAGCACCAAAGUGCUGGUAGAUAAACAAGCCGCUGUUGGCCUAUUAUAUAGCACCAAAGUGCUGGUAGAUAAACAAGCCGCUGUUGGCCUAUUAUAUAGCACCAAAGUGCUGGUAGAUAAACAAACCGCUGUUGGCCUAUUAUAUAGCACCAAAGUGCUGGUAGAUAAACAAGCCGCUGUUGGCCUAUUAUAUGGCACCAAAGUGCUGGUAGAUAAACAAGCCGCUGUUGGGUAAUUUUGUAUUUUAAACAAAUCUAACUGACUAUAAGAACACGUCUUUACACUCGAGUUGUCUGGGGUACUUAGCACAGCUUAAGACAAUGACGCCUAUCUUGCAUCAUUCUACAAGACUGACAUUAAUGUUCUCUCUCUAUAACUAAAAAAAAAAAUACUCCCUUUCUAUAUCAUCACCUUGGAAACACACACACACACACUCCAUCACAAGAGGAUUUGUCUGUCUGAUUUGGAGAGAAAGAUCUGACUUUGAUAUGCUAAGUAGAGAGAGUCGAAAUAAUUAAUUUUGUUUAAAUUAGGCCUAUGUGUACAUUUUGUUUACUGGUAACAGUUAUUAUGCAAAUAAGGUAUAUCAUCGUUACUUAACCUGUGGGGCGUGACCCACUGGAGGUCGCAAUGUCCUGACAAGGGGCGCGAUGUCCCUAAGGGAGGUGGAGCGAAGCCGGUCAAUUUAUUUUUCACGUUUAAAUAUUAACCAAGUAAAAUGGCUUUCAUACCAAUGUUUCAAAACUACAAAUACUGGAAGUAAGAGACCGUGUUUCAUCUUCUACCUUUUAAAACAACAUCGACUGAAAAGGUUUUUAAAGAAAAGUUUUCAAAACGCUUUCCGCUGACGUGAAAUCUCGAGUUUCAGUAGUCAGAAAGGUUCUUCCCAUUGUGGACGUUGCGUUACAAAAAUAGUAAUUUUCUCUUUUAAAUCAAUUCGUACUUUGUAUUAAUAAUAAUAAUAAUAAUAAUAAUAAUAAUAAUAAUCUUUAUUAUCCGUAAGGAAAUUUGUCUUACAAUUUGUGCAUAACACCAAACAAAAAACAUUAUAACUAUAAAAAAACAAAGUGUACAUUCACACCAGACUCACUCAUAAUUUACAGGUGACAAAGUUUAUACCAGAUUGUUCUUAUUUAAUGAUUUGAUUGCCAGGGGAACAAAAGAGUGUUUGUGUCUGUUUGUCUUUGCUAUCGGUGUCUUGUAUCUCUUUUGUGAUGGUAAAAUCACAAAAUCCUGACACAAAGGGUGAUUCUUUAUUUCGAGGAUCUUGUUAGCUUUUUUAUAGAUGUUUGUCUCAAACAACUGCCCAAAUGGGGUUUGUUUUUUGCCAAUGAUUUUGCCAGCAGCAUAUUAUAUUAAAAUAGUAUAAUGAACUAAACAUUUUUCAGAAUUUUGUAAAGAAUGUAAUUACUAUGGAUAUAUGAUAAAUUCAGAUAAAUAUCAUAACACAUUGACCUCAGCGUCAAAUCAGAAAGAGAUUCUUUAUUCUUGCAUUGCGAUUAUUAUCUCUUUCUUAUUAUCAUUAAGCUUUCUAUUUAUUUUAUAUAUAAUUACUAUUUUUUGGAAUGUAUGAAUCUGAGAGCCAGAAUUGCACAGUCCACAGCAGCACUUUCAAAACUCAAAACAAUAUGGAAAGACAAAGGCUUAGCAUUCGACACCAAAAUCAGACUGAUGCGCUCCCUGGUCAGGGCCACAAUCUUAUACGCUUGUGAGUCUUGGACGCUGACUGCAGACCUAGGGAGUAGGGUACUAGCAAUGAAAUGGAGAUGCUUUAAAAAGAUAUUAGGUCUCACACACAAAGGCCGCAUCACAAAUGAAGAUAUUAGAGACAGGCUUAGUUCAGCGAUCGAACCCCAUAUUAACUACUGUCAAAAAAACUCAUAAUAAAACUCUAGGAUCAUAUCACAAGGUCCUGAGGGCUGGCAAAAACCUUCCUUCAGGUUUUGUUCAGGAAAAGGAAGAGGCAGACAGAACACGAUGGGAAGACAUCAUUAAAGAAUGUACGGGCAUGCCAUUGAAAGAGAUUCUAUCCAAGGCAAAAGAGAUGUGGAAACAGAUGGUCCAAGAUUGUGUGUGGUAUCCCAAUGGUCCAAGAUUGUGUGUGGUAUCCCAAUGGUCCAAGAUUGUGUGUGGUAUCCCAAUGAUCCAAGAUUGUGUGUGGUAUCCCAUUGGUCCAAGAUUGUGUGUGGUAUCCCAAUGGUCCAAGAUUGUGUGUGGUAUCCCAAUGGUCCAAGAUUGUGUGUGGUAUCCCAAUGGUCCAAGAUUAUGUGUGGUAUCCCCCCCCCCCUUCCCCAUUGGUCCAACAGACUAAGGGGUAGGUGAAGAUGAAACUGAGGGUCUUCAGGGCUCGGUUUAAAACAAAAUGUACAAGAAUGUAAGGGAGUAUGUCUUGCACAUUAUAUUGAAAUGGAUUUAGUUACGGGAAUAAUACCAGUAGAUUUGUACACACAAUUUUAAUUUGUAUUAAAUUCAAUUAUUUAUGAAUUGAUGACCCAUGAAACUUAAAUACAUAAUAUUGUCACGCAACAUGAGUUGCCACCAAUGCCAGAUAAGAUAAGUAUUGCUGUUGAUUAAAUAAUGACAUGAUGGUAACAACC